rnacentral:rRNA from 1 species
GAUGAACGCUGGCGGCGUGCCUAACACAUGCAAGUCGAACGGAAAGGCCCUGCUUUUGUGGGGUGCUCGAGUGGCGAACGCGUGAGUAACACGUGAGUAACCUGCCCUUGUCUUUGGUAUAACUUCAGGUAACUGGGGCUACUAUCGUAUAGGAUCUCCUGCUGCAUGGUGGGCGUUGGAUAGUUUCGGCGGUUGGGGAUGGACUCGCGGCUUAUCAGCUUGUUGGUGGGGUAGUGGCUUACCAAGGCUUUGACGGGUAGCCGGCAUGAGAGGGUGACCGGCGACAAUGGGACUGAGGGACGGAGCAGACUCGUACGGGAGGCAGCAGUGGGAAGUAUUGCACAAUGGGCGGAAGCCUGAUGCAGAGACGCUGCGUGCGGGAUGACGGCCUUCGGGUUGUAAACAGCUGUCGCCUGUGACGAAGCGGGAGUGACGGUAAUGGGUAAAGAAGCACCGGCUAACUACGUG